UAGGGAAUCUUCCACAAUGGACGCAAGUCUGAUGGAGCAACGCCGCGUGAGUGAAGAAGGUUUUCGGACCGUAAAGCUCUGUUGUUGGUGAAGAAGGAUAGAGGUAGUAACUGGCCUUUAUUUGACGGUAAUCAACCAGAAAGUCACGGCUAACUACGUGCCAGCAGCCGCGGUAAUACGUAGGUGGCAAGCGUUGUCCGGAUUUAUUGGGCGUAAAGCGAGCGCAGGCGGAAGAAUAAGUCUGAUGUGAAAGCCCUCGGCUUAACCGAGGAAUUGCAUCGGAAACUGUUUUUCUUGAGUGCAGAAGAGGAGAGUAGAACUCCAUGUGUAGCGGUGGAAUGCGUAGAUAUAUGGAAGAAUACCAGUGGCGAAGGCGGCUCUCUGGUUCGUCAAACUGACGCUGAGGCUCGAAAGCAUGGGUAGCGAACAGGAUUAGAUACCCUGGUAGUCCAUGCCGUAAAACGAUGAGUGCUAAGUGUUGGGAGGCUUCCGCCUCUCAGUGCUGCAGCUAACGCAUUAAGCACUCCGCCUGGGGGAGUACGACCGCAAGGUUGAAAC
rnacentral:rRNA from 1 species